AACGACCGGCCGGACAUCUAUGUGCCCGGCCCACAAGUGGAGGCUCCGAUCUCCCACCUGUCUGUCCCUGGAGGACGGCGGGUCACCGGUCAGGUGGCGACCAUCGUUCCGUACGGACGAUGGAGCCGCCCGAUGCGCCCCGCGGUAGACGCGGCGGUGUUCCGGUAGUUCAAGGAGCCCCGCCUGUGUUCCGUCCGGGGCAUUUUUG
rnacentral:ncRNA from 1 species